GAUGAACGCUGGCGGCGUGCCUAAUACAUGCAAGUCGAGCGAGCAGACCAGGAGCUUGUGCCUCUGACGUUAGCGGCGGACGGGAGAGUAAAACGUGUAUAACCUACCUGUAAAACUGAGAUAACUUCGGGAAACCGGAGCUAAUAGGGGAUAAUAUAUUGAACCGCAUGGGUCAAUGGUGAAAGUCGGGUCUGCUGUCACUUAUAGAGGGAUCCGGGCCUCCUUAGCUGGUUGUUAAGGUAACGGCUUACCAAGGGAACGAUGCGUAGGCGACCGAAGCGAGGGUUAGUCCCCACUGGAAGAGAAUCACCGGCCAGACUGCUACGGGAGGACGAAGCAGGCUACCAUGCGCAACAGGCGAAAGCAUGACGCAGCAACGCGGCGUGAGUUAUGAAGGCAUUGGGAUCGUAAGACUCUGUUACUAGGGAAGAACAACUGCGUAAGUAGCUGUGCACGUAUUGACGGUACCUAGUCAGAAAGCAACGGCUAACUACGUG
rnacentral:rRNA from 1 species